UGGGGAAUAUUGCACAAUGGGCGCAAGCCUGAUGCAGCCAUGCCGCGUGUAUGAAGAAGGCCUUCGGGUUGUAAAGUACUUUCAGCGGGGAGGAAGGGAGUAAAGUUAAUACCUUUGCUCAUUGACGUUACCCGCAGAAGAAGCACCGGCUAACUCCGUGCCAGCAGCCGCGGUACUACGGAGGGUGCAAGCGUUAAACGGAAUUACUGGGCGUAAAGCGCACGCAGGCGGUUUGUUAAGUCAGAUGUGAAAUCCCCGGGCUCAACCUGGGAACUGCAUCUGAUACUGGCAAGCUUGAGUCUCGUAGAAGGGGGUAGAAUUCCAGGUGUAGCGGUGAAAUGCUUCGCGAUCUGGAGGAAUACCGGUGGCGAAGGCGGCCCCCUGGACGAAGACUGACGCUAAGGUGCGAAAGCGUGGGGAGCAAACAGG
rnacentral:rRNA from 1 species